AGCAGAAAAAUUGGGCAGAAAAAAAAUUGUUAUGGAAUUGUUGAUUGGUUGGCACUCACUUAUGUAACCAUCAGAUAUUUCACUUGGACAAAAAAAACCCUGAAAAAAUGUGUGAUCCUAACUGUUUAUAUCCAAGAUCAAAACAGGAAAUCAAGUUCUGCAGAUGUAUAACAUAGAACAAGUACAAUGAAAUAGAAGGGGAGUUUUUGUUAUUGUAUUAGGCCCAAGGCACGUUGCUUUCAUAUGUGUCAGUGAACUGAAACUCUAUAACUAUCUCCAUAGCUAAGCACAAAUCCAGAUAGUCUGAAUUUAAUACGAGACAUUACCUCAAAUAGCACUCAUCUUACAUCAUAGCUUUGCUACGACUAAUGGACUUAAUGCAAAUAUUCAUAUCAAUCCCAGUCUUUUGAGCAAGUUUGGAAGAACUCAGCUGUAAUGGAAACAACAAGGUCGAUUGUUACCUUGUCAAAAGAAGUCUCUGGGGAUCAUUUAAGCUGAGAACUAAUUAUUCCUAUUAAUGAAACAGAUUUCAGCAAUAUGAAAUUUCCUCGAAAUGGAGAUGGAUUAAUGAGAAAAACGUAAAAAGUCAGAUCUAAAUGAAAAAGGAGCGUGGACUAUACGAUUAAGUGUAAAGUAACUUUACUAAUUUCCAGGUCAAUACAUUAAAAAAUGUGAUGAAAAAGGAGAAGAAAAAUUCAAAACUAUGAUUUCAAGAAAAGCAAAAACGAAAGUAAGAUAGCAAUUUUAGCAGUGCUUAUGUGUCUCCAAACUGAAAAGGCCAGUAACCUUGUCGGUGCUUGCUUCUUCUUCCCUAGUACCCCAGUUAGACCUUUUAUCAAUUCCCCAAAACUACACCUCUUGACCCCAUCAUUCUGUUACAGUAUGUUCUUAAUUUGAAUUCAUGCAGCCAUAUUUUUCUAGACCUACCAAUUGUCUAUGGAUUUUUUUCAUAUUAGAAAAACCAAAAACGGCUAGAAAGGUAAAUGAGAAAAAAGGUUACAAAUAAUGACAAUACAACAUAUGGAAAGUUAGAAAGCCAUUUUGUGAAUUGUCAUACACAUAUAAGCACACGUAUCAGAUACUGCUUAACCAUCCUCCACGCGUUGUCUACGUGGCAGCGCUGCUUAUUAAUCAUUAUUGGUUCUCAUAAUCACCAACUACCUAAUUAAACAAUCCUUAUCCUUUUCAUCUCAGUAAAUUCCAAACCUCCUAACUGGGUCGCACUUACACUCGUUAAAGCUAGGAUUCUACUCUUUCCACCCAUAGGUAAUUCCAAACUUCUUACUUAAUAAAUGAGACAUGAAUCAACAAGGCAUCCUUGUCUUUUCAUCUCAAAAAAGGGCACCUAAAGCACUUUUAGUCAAGUAUAAUAGAAGAAGCAUCAAAACAGUGCAGCCCAUAUUUAGUAAAGCAACAAAGAACAGCAACUACCACAACCCAGUAGACUAAUUACACUAAAAACAAGAAUCAAAAGGUUGUGUCUCCGACUUGGUAACCAGCUACACAGAUAACUGAAAAUGAGCCACCCCAAGCCACUUUCUGAUUGUUUAUCAUUAAUUGUCCGAAUACUUCAACUCAAGCUUUUAUAUCCAAAUUGUUUACUGGCAAGUUUGUUGUAAAAUUUGGAAAAAUUGUUCUCCCCAAAAAUUAGAUCUAGAAAAUGUCAUAACAGAAGAAUGUUGGACUUAUAGUGACAAGGAAUAAGAACAUAAAUAAACCUUCCAAGGAGAACAUGGGGAGUCAGUCCUAAUCAUCUGUUGAAGAAGUAAGUAGUUACCAGAAUGCCUUUGUGGCGCAUAAGAGGAAGCAAACUGCGAUGCCCAAACACAAACACCAGUGC